rnacentral:rRNA from 1 species
UACAGAGGUCUCAAGCGUUGUUCGGAUUCAUUGGGCGUAAAGGGCGCGUAGGCGGCGGGGUAAGUCGGGUGUGAAAUCUCAGAGCUCAACUCUGAAAUGGCACUUGAUACUGCUCUGCUAGAGGACUGGAGAGGAGAUUGGAAUUCCCAGUGUAGUGGUGAAAUACGUAGAGAUUGGGAAGAACACCAGUGGCGAAGGCGGCUAUCUGGACGGUUACUGACGCUAAGACUCGAAAGCGUGGGGAGCAAACAGG